GACACGACUCUCGACAAUGGAUAUCUUGGCUCUUGCAUCGAUGAAGAGCGCAGCGAAAUGCGAUACGUGGUGCGAAUUGCAGAAUCCCGCGAACCAUCGAGUCUUUGAACGCAAGUUGCGCCCGAGGCCAGUCGGCCAAGGGCACGUCCGCCUGUGCGUCAAGC
rnacentral:rRNA from 1 species